CUGAUAUUGCACAUAAUGAAUGUUUUUUGUUUCGACCGCGUGAUUCGAAGUUCCCUUUCCAUCCCCCAGAUAGCCGUGCCCGACGUCCUGGAAGCAGCCAAGGAUGCAGAUGUCAUUGUCUUCGUCAUACCACACCAGUUCAUCAAGAACAUCUGCAAGCCGCUGGUGGGUCAGCUCAAGCCCACCGCCGUCGGCAUCUCGCUUAUUAAGGGUUUUGACAUAGCUGAAGGUGGUGGUAUUGCCCUCAUCUCUAGAAUCAUCUGUGACUUCGUAAAUGUUCCCAUGUCAGUCCUUAUGGGAGCCAACCUUGCAGGAGAAGUAGCAGAGGAAAAAUUUUGUGAAACAACCAUAGGCUGUCGCGAUCCCAUAGUAGGCCGGAUGUACAGGGACCUCAUCCAGACAGAUUACUUCAGAGUUGUUGUUGUUGAUGAUGUUGAAGCUGUUGAAGUAUGUGGUGCUCUGAAGAAUAUUGUUGCCACUGGUGCUGGAUUUAUUGAUGGUCUUGGCUUUGGUGACAACACAAAGGCAGCUGUGAUUAGAUUAGGCCUUAUGGAAAUGAUCAAAUUUUGUGAAGUAUUUUAUCCAGGUUCCAAACUGGGCACAUUCUUUGAAAGUUGCGGAGUUGCUGAUCUUAUCACAACUUGCUAUGGUGGCAGGAAUAGGAGAGUUGCAGAGGCUUUUGUGAAGACUGGAAAGACAAUUGAAGAACUGGAAAAGGAGAUGCUGAAUGGCCAGAAGCUACAGGGACCACAAACUGCUGAAGAAGUUAAUUACAUGCUGAAGAACAAGGGGAUGGAAGAUCGGUUUCCACUUUUCACCUCCAUACAUCGCAUUUGCAAGGGCGAAAUCCCCCCUGCAGAAAUGGUAAACUGCAUCAGGAACCAUCCAGAACACAUGGAACCAAACUGCUUUAAAAUCUCGAAUCCUCCUGGAAUGGAGAGUUAAGAGGGAAGGCCUCUUUUGGGAACCACUUCUGGAAACAAAAUAAAAAAUAUAUGUUGUGAUCUUCAAACAAGUGAGCAGUGGGUGUACAUUCGACAAGGAACACACCACUGUCACAGGCAACCAUGACUGAUGAAGACAAGACUGAGCAUAGGCAGUGUCAUCCAUCCCAGUUCUGCUAUAUUACAUCACCAGUCUUCCUGAAAAUUUGAAGCACAUUCUUGAAGUGGAAAUUUUAAAAUUAUAUAUAUAUAUAUAUUAUAUAUAUAUAUAUAUAUAUUAUAUAUAUAUAUAUAUAUAUAUAUAUAUAUAUAUAUAUAUAUAUAUAUAUAUAUAUAUAUAAUUUUUUUUCCUUUUUUCUUUUUUUGAUAAUGAUAGCAAAUGCUAACUUAAAGAUAGGAUGCAAACCAUUUACUGUAGAGUGUGAGCACUUUUUUAUAUAUUGCAAAAAUAUAGAUGAAAGUUUUAUCUUUUCAUGAAAAAAAUUGUUGUUUUAUACAGUAAUGAUUGAUCCAAUGCACCUUCUUUAGUAUUUUGACUUGAAGUAUUCUGGUUAUGUUUAGAUAAAUGAAUUUGAAAUACAAAGAUGUGAGAACUUUUGGGGAUGUGUUGAAUGGCACUAACUAUUAUGUCUGGUACUGAAUUGUGUUCAAAUGACUUUUUUGAAAUAUUAGAUGAGUUAGUCUUUAUUGUAUAAGAUCUUCAUACAAUUUUGUUAUUUGUAGAACUAGUUCUGAAAACCAUUAACUAUCAGGAAAAUAUUCCUUUCUAGAUACACUGAAUACUCAGUUACAAUUAUUACAUAGUUACCAUAUACUUAUGCUCAACUAUUUUUAGUAAUUCCUGUUCAAACCCACCCUUUUGGUGCUACAAACCUCAUUUUAAUUCUAAAAAAGAAACUAAAUGAAAGUGAGUUACCAUUAAAAUUAAGUGAAGAUUUGAAAUACCCCAAUUCUGUGCAGAUAUUAAGUUAAUAGACCUGCUUAAAUACAUGGAUGCAAUGCCAGUUCCUGUUUUGAGCAGCUUUAACCAUGAAUAGCAAGUGUAGAGCAGAUGAAAGCUAGCAAUUUAUGAAUCUUCCUUGUUUGUUUGCAGUAUAUAGAUACAGGCUUUUUAUCAUAUGGCAACUUACUGGACUGAAAAAGAAAUAUGAAAGUUUUGGAUUGCCAUUGUUAGUAAUGAUUGCAGCUUUGGUUCUGUACAUAAAUAGUCACGUCAUGAUUACCGAAGUCUACCUAUUGUUGUGCCAUUAUUACCUAUAUUUUGAAAUUAGAUUGUAUGAGGUGAAUAUCAUACAAUUUCCAUGAGUGAAAGGAAGACCGGUCUGAAUGCAUAAUAGUUACAUAUAUCUGGUUUCAUUUCCUUAUAUUGUUAUAUUUUAUUUUUUUUCUCUCUCCUUUUUUUCUUUUGGUGUAAAUCAAAGGUUGUGCAAUUUCUAUGUAUGGUACCAUUGUUUGUGUUCUUCAUUUUAUAUUGAAAAUUGUUGAGCAUUUUUCUCAGUUAGAUUAUUAUGGAUUACCUUAGUUUAUGAAGACACAAGUAUGUAAAAGAAAUAGAUGUAAUAUAUGCAGCUUGAGAUUAAUAUCUUAACAUAGAUUAACUAUAUAAACAGUGUAGAAAUUGAUCCUUUAGAAAAAGUUAAAAUUAAGAGAAAUGAUAUUUUUAUCAGUUGUUUUUACAACUACAUCUGUGUAAUGUAAGUGGUGCACUUCUAAAAUGCAAAAAAUAUUACUGGAAUGGAGAAAGUUGAUAAAUAAAUGGUGAAUUGAGAAUAA